UCCACCAUACUACUACAAAUCACCACCCCCUCCAUCACCAUCUCCUCCACCACCCUACUACUACAAGUCUCCUCCACCACCAUCACCAUCUCCCCCUCCACCCUACUACUACAAGUCCCCUCCUCCACCGUCACCUUCUCCACCACCUCCGUACUACUACCACUCUCCACCUCCACCCCUGAAAUCACCUCCUCCACCGGUAUAUAUUUACGCUUCACCACCACCUCCCAUCCACUACUAAGAAACUUCAAGAGUUCAAUCAUUCUCCACAAUCAAUCAAGUUUUAGUUUGAAGCACAAAAUAAACGUCAAUGGAACAAUGCUUCAUAGUGUUUGAUUAUUUGUAAUUUAUUGUUGUAUUGAGGAUAUCCUCAUUUUUAUUCAUUCCUACUAAUUAAAUUGUAUUUCUUUAGUUUGUGCACGAAUCAAUAAGAAGAUCAUAACCAUGAUUAUUUCUC